rnacentral:rRNA from 1 species
UACGUAGGGUGCAAGCGUUAAUCGGAAUUACUGGGCGUAAAGCGUGCGCAGGCGGUUGUGCAAGACAGGUGUGAAAUCCCCGGGCUUAACCUGGGAACUGCACUUGUGACUGCACGGCUGGAGUACGGCAGAGGGGGAUGGAAUUCCGCGUGUAGCAGUGAAAUGCGUAGAUAUGCGGAGGAACACCGAUGGCGAAGGCAGUCCCCUGGGCCUGUACUGACGCUCAUGCACGAAAGCGCGGGGAGCAAACGGG